AGCUUCGCACAUUGGCAGUAUCGUAGCCAAUGAGGUGUAUCCAAGGCACGACUUGCUAAUUGAAAACUUUUCCCAAUAACCCGCCAUGACAACUUGAAAUACAGUCGACAUUGGCAAUUUUUGGCAGUGUCUACGGAGA
ensembl:snRNA U4 U4 spliceosomal RNA